rfam:Solanum tuberosum cultivar DM 1-3 516 R44 scf00302_17, whole genome shotgun sequence.
AUCCUUUCGAGUACAUCUGAUAAAAUUUGAACGAUACAGAAAAGAUUUGCAAUGACCCAUGUGCAAGGAUGACAUGGAUAACUCGAGAAAUAGUCCAUUUUUUU